GCAGCGUCCCCAAGAGCAGCCACAACCCCAAGAAGGCACCCAAGAGCAGCACCAUUUCAAAGAGAGGAAACAUUCCCAAGAGUGCCCCCAUGAGCGGCGCCAUUCCAAAAAGUCGCUGCUUCCCCAAGAGCAGCCACAGUGCAAUUCCCAAAAGUCACAGCAUCCCCAGAGGCAGCCAUGGACCCAAGAGGGACCCGAAUAGGGGCGUCAUUCCAAAGAGCAGAAACAUUCCCAAGAGUGCCCCAAAGAGUGGCACAUUCCAAAGAGCAGCCACACUCACAAGAGCAUCCCCCAGAGCAGCUCCACUCCAAAAAUCCACAGCAGCCUCAGCCCCAAGAACACCCCCAUGGUCAGCCACAAUCCCAAGAGGGGCACCAUGCCAAAGAGUCGCAGCAUCACCAAGAGCAGCCACAGCCCCAAAAGGGCCCCGAAGAGCGGCGCCAUUCCAAAGAGAGGGCACAUUUCCAAGAGCAGCUCCAUUCCAAAGAGGGGCCACUCUCCCAAGAGCGGCGCUAUUCCAAAGAGAGGCCAUACUCCCAAGAGCAAGACCAAGAGCGGCACCAUUCCAAAGAUCGGCCACACUCCCAAGAGCACCCCCAAAUGGGUUGCCAUUCCAAAAAGCUACAGCUUUCCCAAGAGCAGCCACAGCCCCAAGAGGGCCCCUAGGACAGGUACCAUUCCAAGGAGCUGCGCCAUUCCAAGAAGUCUCAGCAUCCCCAAGAGCAGCCAAGGCACCAUUCCCAAAAGUCGUAGCACCGCAAGAGCAGCCUCAGCCCCAAGAGAGCCCCCAAGAGCGGCACCAUUCGAAAGAGAGGCCACACUCCCAAGAGCAUCCCCAAGAGCGGCGCCUUUUCAUGAAGUCACACCAUAAAGUCGCAGCAUCCCCCGAGGCAUCCACAGCCCCAAGAGGGACCCAAAGAGCAGCACCAUUUCAAAGAGUGGAAACAUUCCCAAGAGUGCCCCCAAGAGCGGCACCAUUCCAAAAAGUCGCAGCAUCCCCAAGAGCAGCCACAGCCACAAGAGGGCCACCAAGAGCAGCGCCAUUCCAAAGAGAAGCCACACUCCCAGGAGCAUCCCCAAGAGUGGCACCAUUCCAAAAAGUCGCAGCAUCCCCAAGAGCAGCCACGGUGCCAUUCCAAAAAGUUGCAGCAUUCCCAAGAGCAAUCAUAGGCACAAGAGGGCUCUCUAGAGCGGUGCCAAUCCCAAAGAGCAGCCACACUCACAAGAGCAGCGCCA
rnacentral:lncRNA from 1 species